rnacentral:tRNA from 1 species
GCCAUUGUGAUUUAGUGGUAAGAGUAUAAGACUAGGAUGUAUGAGACUUGGGUUCAAAUCCCUACACUGUCA